UACGUAGGCAGCGAGCGUUGUUCGGAGUUACUGGGCGUAAAGGGUGUGUAGGCGGUUGUUUAAGUUUGGUGUGAAAUCUCCCGGCUCAACUGGGAGGGUGCGCCGAAUACUGAAUGUCUAGAGUGCGGGAGAGGAAAGUGGAAUUCCUGGUGUAGCGGUGAAAUGCGUAGAUAUCAGGAGGAACACCGGUGGUGUAGACGGCUUUCUGGACCGUAACUGACGCUGAGACACGAAAGCGUGGGUAGCAAACAGG
rnacentral:rRNA from 1 species